CCCUGCCAUUUGUACACACCGCCCGUCGCUACUACCGAUUGAAUGAUUUAGUGAGGUCUUCGGACUGGUGAUGAGCGGCAACCGUCUCGUGCGGUGCCACAGUCGCCGGAAAGAUGACCAAACUUGAU
rnacentral:rRNA from 1 species